rnacentral:rRNA from 1 species
UGCGUCCGUACCCAUAACCGACACAGGUGCUCUGGCUGAGCAAGCCAAGAUGUGUGAGAUUAAUCGACCCUAGGGAAUUCGGCAAAAUAGCCCCCUGACUUUGGUUGAAGGGGUCCCAGCGGUUGUAACGUAUGUUGCGAUUGCUGGGCUAAGAUAUUAGGUCGGCCCGACUGUUUAACAAAAACGUAGCCAACUGCUAGACGGGAACGUUGUGUAUAGUUGGUGACUUCUGCCCAGUGCUAGUAUCUGAAAGCGGUUUUCAAGCUGCCUAAGGACUGGUAAACGGCGGGGGUAACUAUGACCCUCUUAAGGUAGCGAAAUACCUUGGCCAUUAAAUGUGGUCGUGCAUGAACGGAGUAACGAGGUUGACACUGUCCCAGGGUUGAGUCUCAUGAACUUACUAUUCUGGGGAAUGGGCCAGAGACUUCCAGUGGGACGCUGAGACCCCGUAGAGCUUUACUGUAGCUUGUAGCUGUUAUAUUGCUGUGUUUGCACAGUGUAUAGGGGAGGCUUCGAAGCAUUGUUUCCGGACAAUGUGGAGCCACCGAUGUAACACCCUACCUUCAUAUCGAUAUGACUUACCUGAAAGGGAACACCUAUAAGCGGACAGUUUGAGUGGGGCGCUCCCCUCCUGAAAAUGUAUCAGGAGGAACCUAAGGUCAGCUCAGCCUGGUUGGAAACCAGGUGUAGAGUUUAAGAGCAAAAGCUGGCUUGACUGAGAUCUGCAAAGCAAAGGUUUCAGACACGAAAGUGUGGUCUAGAGAACCCCUAUGUCCCUCUUACUGAGGGCUAGGAUUGAUAGAAAAGCUACCUCGGGGAUAAUUGAGUGGUGCCGUGCUAGAGUACAUAUCGACCACGGCGCUUGCGACUUCGUUGUCGGCUCUGCUUAUCCUGGCUGUGCAACAGCAGCCAAGGGUGCGGGAGUUCACCGAUUAAAAAGCACCGUGAGCUGGGUUCAGAACGCUGUGAAGCAGUUUGUUUGAUAUCUACUGGAAGUGUUGGGAGUCUGAAGAGAAGCUGCCUCUAGUACGAAAGGAACGAGGUGUCCGAGCCUCUGGUGUAUCUGUUGUCCGACAGGGCAGGCAGAGCAGCUACGCUCGAAGUGGAUAACUUCUGAAAGCAUCUAAGA